AUACGUAGGGAGCGAGCGUUGUCCGGAAUUACUGGGCGUAAAGGGCGCGUAGGCGGCGCUUCAAGUCGUCUGUCAAAUGGGAGGGCUUAACCCUUUUUCGCAGACGAAACUGGAGAGCUUGAGAAGCAGAGAGGCAAACAGAAUUCCUGGUGUAGCGGUGAAAUGCGUAGAUAUCAGGAAGAAUACCAGUGGCGAAGGCGGUUUGCUGGCUGCAUACUGACGCUGAAGCGCGAAAGCCAGGGGAGCAAACGGGAUUAGGUACCCCGGUAGUCCUGGCAGUAAACGAUGUAUGCUGGGUGUGAGACUAGCGAUAGUUUCGUGCCGAAGUUAACGCGAUAAGCAUACCGCCUGGGGAGUACGGUCGCAAGAUUGAAACUCAAAGGAAUUGACGGGG
rnacentral:rRNA from 1 species